UUUGCAGGCUGAUGGAGUCAGCAAGGAAGAGGUUUAUGAACAGCAGCCACUCUGCAUAGGAUGGCUGCAGGGAAUGUUCUCAUGCUUGCCCAGAGAAGUCUGCCAGGGUCACUGAGAUACCUCUGAGAU
rfam:Neotoma lepida isolate 417 scaffold_12034, whole genome shotgun sequence.